UGCUAUUUCAAAGGAGAUUGUAGGCAUUUGAAAAAUCUGGGUCACUCCUCAUGCAUUCCAGAAAGAAAUCUGUGAUAGACUAAGGCCUCAGGACCCAUCUGUAGCUGUGUGGGAACUGUGUGGGGUUGUAAAUAAAGCUGGUGGGGGGCCCAGAGCAGUUUUCAGGGCCUGACCCUCAGAGCCAGGAUUUCUAAAUACUGAAAACUGGAUGGAGAAAAACUGAAAAAUAGGGUCUUUAAAUUUUUUUUUAGAGACAGGGUCUUCCUCUGUCACCCAGACUGGAGUGCAGUGGUGUGAUCGUGGCUCACUGUAACCUUGAAUUCCUGGGCUCAAGUGAUCCUUCUGCCUCAGCCUCCUGUGCAGCUGGGGCUACAGGCACGCACCACUAUGCCGGGCUAAUUUAUUAAAAUGUUUUGUAGAGAUGGAGUCUUGCUAUGCUGCCCAGGCUGGCCUUAAGCUUCUGGGCUAAGUGAUCUUCCUGCCUCAGCCUCCCAAAGUGCUGGAAUUCAGGCACAAGUCACUGCACCUGUCGGUUUUCAAAAAUUGUCUGUAGAGAGGGGACCUCACUAUGUUGUCCAAGCUGGUCUUGAACUCCUGGCCUCAAGUAAUCCUCAGCCUUCCAAAGCAUUGUGAUUACAGACGUGAGCCCCUGUACCCAACCCUGAGAAACACAGUUUUAAGGUGCUCAAAAAUGGAUCAACCCUGUUGCUUCUAGGAAGAUGGAGUAGACAUAUUUUUCCCUAUUCCUCUUGCCAAGUACAACUAAAAGCCCUGGACAUUCUACUAAUAUAUAAAACAGGCAUAAGACGACUGUGAAAGGCGGGGAAAAGGCGGUAUACUGUAUAGGGACCUCUGCACACAAGAAAUGAUACCGUAGUGAGUUCUUCAGGUUUUCUUUUUGCUUCAUCAAUUCCAGUCCAGGAGGUGAAGAAGCUGGCACUUUAGAAACGCCUGCAAGGACACAUGAAACAGCCCUGAUAAAAGCCCACUCUCUCUAGCCAAAGAACCAGGAAAGCAGCAGCCUCACAAAACAGGAAAUGUUUACAUAGUAUCCACUCUACUCCAGCCAAACACCACAGAAAAAUCUGUGGUCACACCCCCACCUACACCAGCAAAGGGCUAAGGGGGC
rnacentral:lncRNA from 1 species